rnacentral:rRNA from 1 species
GAAUAUUGCACAAUGGGGGAAACCCUGAUGCAGCCAUGCCGCGUGUGUGAAGAAGGCCUUCGGGUUGUAAAGCACUUUCAGUGGUGAGGAAGGCCUUGUAGUUAAUAACUGCAAGGAUUGACGUUAGCCACAGAAGAAGCACCGGCUAACUCCGUGCCAGCAGCCGCGGUAAUACGGAGGGUGCAAGCGUUAAUCGGAAUUACUGGGCGUAAAGCGUACGUAGGCGGCUUGUUAAGCAAGAUGUGAAAGCCCCGGGCUCAACCUGGGAAUGGCAUUUUGAACUGGCAGGCUCGAGUUCUGAAGAGGGUGGUAGAAUUUCCAGUGUAGCGGUGAAAUGCGUAGAUAUUGGAAGGAAUACCAGUGGCGAAGGCGGCCACCUGGUCAGAAACUGACGCUGAGGUACGAAAGCGUGGGGAGCAAACAGG